rnacentral:rRNA from 1 species
UACGUAGGGGGCAAGCGUUGUCCGGAUUUAUUGGGCGUAAAGAGCGUGUAGGCGGCUUCACAGGUCUGCUGUGAAAACUCGAGGCUCAACCUCGAGCUGUCGGUGGAAACCGUGGGGCUAGAGUCCGGAAGAGGAGAGUGGAAUUCCCGGUGUAGCGGUGAAAUGCGCAGAUAUCGGGAAGAACACCCGUGGCGAAGGCGGCUCUCUGGGACGGUACUGACACUGAGGCACGAAGGCCAGGGGAGCAAACGGG